rnacentral:rRNA from 1 species
AUGGAGCUUUAGACACACAGGUGGCCCAUGUCAAAUAACCCCCGCUAAGGGCCUGAACUAAGUGGAGCCUGCCUUGAUGUCUUCGGUUGGGGCGACCAUGGGGAAUACAAAACCCCCACGUGGAAGGGGAGCACACCCCUAAGUUACUUCUUCUCCCGCAAGCCAGAGCAACGGCUCUAACCAGCAGAAAUUCUGACCAAAAUGAUCCGGUAAUACCGAUCAACGAACCA